ensembl:snRNA U6 U6 spliceosomal RNA
GUGCUCAUAUUGAGAGAACAUAUAAUGAAAUCAGAAACAUACAGAGAAAAUUAGCAGGAUGUCUGUGGAAAUGUGACAUGUAAAUUCAUGAAGUAGUGCAUAUUUCU